GGGUGAUUAGCUCAGCUGGGAGAGCACCUCCCUUACAAGGAGGG
rnacentral:tRNA from 2 species